GGGGAUGUAGCCCAAUCUGGCAGAGGCGCUGGUCUCAGACACCAGUGGUUACAGGUUCGAAUCCUGUCAUCCCCACCA
rnacentral:tRNA from 1 species